rfam:Streptomyces sp. AVP053T2 APS67_contig000130, whole genome shotgun sequence.
CUUCACCGACCCCAGCCGCAACGGCCGGCCCUCCGGCCGGUCCUGGCCGUACGUGGCGAGCAGCGCCUGCGCCUC